rnacentral:rRNA from 1 species
AACGAACGCUGGCGGCAUGCCUAACACAUGCCAGUCGAACGAGACCUUCGGGUCUAGUGGCGCACGGGUGCGUAACGCGUGGGAACCUGCCCUUAGGUUCGGAAUAACUCCCCGAAAGGGGUGCUAAUACCGGAUAAUGUCUUCGGACCAAAGAUUUAUCGCCUUUGGAUGGGCACGCGUUGGAUUAGCUAGUUGGGAGAGUAAAAGCCUACCAAGGCGACGAUCCAUAGCUGGUCUGGGUGGAUGAUCAGCCACACUGGGACUGAGACACGGCCCAGACUCCUACGGGAGGGAGCAGGGGUGAAUAUGGGACAAUGGGCGAAAGCCUGAUCCAGCAAGGCCGCGUGAGUGAUGAAGGCCGGAGGGUUGUAAAGCUCUUUUACCCGGGAUGAUAAUGACAGUACCGGGAGAAUAAGCUCGGGCUAACUCCGUG